UUCUAAUCUUAUUGAGAUUUAGCUACUAAUAUAAAUACGUCUUUUACUAUGUGGAUUGAUGCAUCGGAUGAGAGAGAUUAUGAGACGUAUUUUUGGACUUAGAAUUUUGUAAGAAGAUACUCCAGCUCGAUUAUAUUAAAAAUUUCUGCUCCGUCCUCGCCCACAGACUUUGGACCGUGGCGGAACGACGUAAUUUACUUCUAUGCUUUAUUUUUUAUUUCUCUUUAUCAAUUCUUUUUUGAUAUUUCGCACUCGACGAAUUAGAUUUUUUCCACAUUUAUCGUAACAUA
rnacentral:lncRNA from 1 species